AUCGAUUUUACCUUCAGUUCCUUUUUUACCUAUUUUUUCUCUCUCUUCUUGCUAUCAUCUUAAUUCAGGUCUUUUUUAUAACCUACUCUAGUAACCUGUUUGUUCUGUCUACCUCUGACUCUUAAUUCCAUGGUUCUCAACCUUGGCGGCACAUUAAAAAUACCAGGGUGGGCGGGAGGAGGUUGAAAAUCUUGGUGCCCAGGCUAAACCCCAAGCCAGUAUAACCAAAGUCUCUGGGAACAGGAUCUAG
rnacentral:lncRNA from 1 species